rnacentral:rRNA from 1 species
GAUGAACGCUAGCGGGAGGCCUAACACAUGCAAGCCGAGCGGUAUUUGUUCUUCGGAACAGAGAGAGCGGCGCACGGGUGCGGAACACGUGUGCAACCUGCCUUUAUCUGGGGAUAGCCUUUCGAAAGGAAGAUUAAUACCCCAUAAUAUAUUGAGUGGCAUCAUUUGAUAUUGAAAACUCCGGCGGAUAGAGAUGGGCACGCGCAAGAUUAGAUAGUUGGUGAGGUAACGGCUCACCAAGUCAAUGAUCUUUAGGGGGCCUGAGAGGGUGAUCCCCCACACUGGUACUGAGACACGGACCAGAAUCCUACGCGAGGCAGCAGUGAGGAAUAUUGGACAAUGGAUUAGCGCCUGAUCCAGCCAUCCCGCGUGAAAGACGACGGCCCUAGGGGUUGUAAACUUCUUUUGUAUAGGGAUAAACCUACUCUCGUGAGAGUAGCUGAAGGUACUAUACGAAUAAGCACCGGCUAACUCCGUG